rnacentral:lncRNA from 1 species
CGAGAUCAUAGGAUUAGAGAAGAAGAAGAAUUAUCUCUGCAAUAUGCUCACUCCCUGCACCACAUCUGCAAGCGUGGGAUAGUCGACUUUGUGAUUGAGGAACCUGAGGGGUCCAACACCAAGAUAUUAAUCGAGAAGAUGCUCAACGAGAAGGACAGGAAGACGCACAUAAAAAUGUGGAAGGUGAUAGAGAUGGAGCUGUCCCUGAUGUACGACAUCCUCUACACCAAGGCGGGCGUGAUCCACAGCUGGUUUGGCUACUCCAUCCGGGUCUUGUCUCCGGUCACCAUCUUUGCCUCCUUCCUCUUGUUCAUCCUCAGUGGGAGGGGUGGCAGCAGCUGCUGCAGCAAAGCCGGCCAGCAGCAUGGGAUCGACAUCGCCGUCACAUAUGUCUUAUUGGUUGGUGCUUUCCUGAUGGAGACGACGUCCUUGAUAAACGCUCUAGCAUCGAGCUGGGCACUUGGCUUCUUAUAUGGCAUGCCAUGGAGUUGGCUCGAGAAUAUGGCAUUUCAUGUCAGAUGGUGGCACCGGCUCCGGCGAUCAGUCUUGGCUCUUCGCCGGAGUGUCGAAGCAAAGACAAGAGGUUUCUGGGGCAGAUCAAGGAAGUGGUCAGGCAACAUUGGCCAGUUCAAUCUGCUCUACUUCCGUGCCGCGCAGGUCAACCGGACCAACUACUGGCUCGGCAAGUGUGCUAUGAAAUUGGGGUUCGGCAUUGGCAAUUGGUGGAACAACACUUGUUACUCGUGGACUAUCAUGAUUCCAGACAAGGUGAAGACUAGAUCGGUGGGUUUGGUCUCUAAGCGUCAUCUCAAUACAAUGGGCUUGCUCAGGUAUAAGUGGGGCGAGCUGGCACUCAACAAUGAUAAAAUCAAGAACAAUGAUAAAAUCAAGAUCUGCUCUAAACAGGCUGGACUGCUUGAAGAGGCUGGACUGCUUGAAAGAAAAAGAAACUACUCCGGCGGCAACAGUAAAAAUGACAAGGAAGUUGAACGUGUGCGUUCAAUCAGGGCACUGUCCAACUAUCUGAUGUUCCUGGUUGUGACUCGCCCCGACAUGGUACCUGGACUUCCCCAAAAUUGGUUAUACCAACAGACCUGUAACAACCUCGAUGAAAUAUGCGAAGAUCGGCGUUAUCAACUCCUUUCUUCAGCUGGCGGCAAGGCCAAUAACAUCAUCUUCAGGGUGCUCAGGCAGCUGUUCAGAGGCCAUAAUGAUAACACAGCGUCUGUUCGGCUCAACCAGACCAACGAACUCGCUAAAAUCUUACUCGAGAAAUAUAAUCCCACGGAAGAAUUUGACCGCUCAGUUCCUCGCCUGACGUAUGCAUGCAACGUAGCUCAUAAAGUUCUAAAUUGGGAGUAUCCAGAUGACCUGAAGGAUACAGGCCCAGUGAAGGUGCUGCAUGACUUGUGGAUGGACUUUCUCAUUUAUGCAGCCAACCGAUGCAACAGGAAGUCACAUGCCGAGAUGCUCAACGUCGGUGGCGAGUUUACGACGGUUGUAUGGCUAAUGAUUGAACAUAUAUAUCAAACAAAAAGAGACAAAAAUAAGUCAUAG